GACGGAGGGUGCAAGCGUUGUUCGGAUUUACUGGGCGUAAAGGGCGUGUAGGCGGUUGGUCAAGUCCGAUGUGAAAGCCCGGGGCUCAGCUUCGGAAGUGCAUCGGAAACUAGCCAGCUGGAGCGCGAUAGAGGAGGGCGGAAUUCCUGGUGUAGCGGUGAAAUGCGUAGAUAUCAGGAGGAACACCGGCGGCGAAGGCGGCCCUCUGGAUCGUUGCUGACGCUGAGACGCGAAAGCGUGGGGAGCAAACAGG
rnacentral:rRNA from 1 species